CAACUAGUCCCUCUGUCCCAAAUUUCUUGUCUUAGAUUUGUCUAGAUACGGAUGUAUCUAAUACUAAAAUGUGACUUGAUACAUCCGUAUCUAGACAAAUCUAAGACAAGAAUUUUGGGACGAAGGGAGUACUUU
rnacentral:pre_miRNA from 1 species